rnacentral:rRNA from 1 species
GCCAGACUCCUACGGGAGGCAGCAGUGGGGGAUAUUGCACAAUGGGGGAAACCCUGAUGCAGCGACGCCGCGUGGGUGAAGAAGCGCCUCGGCGCGUAAAGCCCUGUCAGCAGGGAAGAAAAUGACGGUACCUGAAGAAGAAGCCCCGGCUAACUACGUGCCAGCAGCCGCGGUAAUACGUAGGGGGCAAGCGUUAUCCGGAUUUACUGGGUGUAAAGGGAGCGUAGACGGCAGUGCAAGUCCGGAGUGAAAGCCCGGGGCUCAACCCUGGGACUGCUCUGGAAACUGUAAAGCUGGAGUGCGGGAGGGGCAGGCGGAAUUCCUGGUGUAGCGGUGAAAUGCGUAGAUAUCAGGAGGAACACCGGCGGCGAAGGCGGCCUGCUGGACCGUAACUGACGUUGAGGCUCGAAAGCGUGGGGAGCAAACAGGAUUAGAUACCCUAGUA